rnacentral:rRNA from 1 species
UGCUAGUUGUGCGGGUUUAGACCCGCAGCGGAAAGCUCAGUAACACGUGGCCAAGCUACCCUGUGGACGGGAAUACUCUCGGGAAACUGAGGCUAAUCCCCAAUAACGCUUUGCUCCUGGAAGGGGCAAAGCCGGAAACGCUCCGGCGCCACAGGAUGCGGCUGCGGUCGAUUAGGUAGACGGUGGGGUAACGGCCCACCGUGCCCAUAAUCGGUACGGGUUGUGAGAGCAAGAGCCCGGAGACGGAAUCUGAGACAAGAUUCCGGGCCCUACGGGGCGCAGCAGGCGCGAAACCUUUACACUGUACGAAAGUGCGAUAAGGGGACUCCGAGUGUGAAGGCAUAGAGCCUUCACUUUUGUACACCGUAAGGUGGUGCACGAAUAAGGACUGGGCAAGACCGGUGCCAGCCGCCGCGGUAAUACCGGCAGUCCGAGUGAUGGCCGAUCUUAUUGGGCCUAAAGCGUCCGUAGCUGGCUGAACAAGUCCGUUGGGAAAUCUGUCCGCUUAACGGGCAGGCGUCCAGCGGAAACUGUUCAGCUUGGGACCGGAAGACCUGAGGGGUACGUCUGGGGUAGGAGUGAAAUCCUGUAAUCCUGGACGGACCGCCGGUGGCGAAAGCGCCUCAGGAGAACGGAUCCGACAGUGAGGGACGAAAGCUAGGGUCUCGAACCGGAUUAGAUACCCGGGUAGUCCUAGCUGUAAACGAUGUCCGCUAGGUGUGGGCGCAGGCUACGAGCCUGCGCUGUGCCGUAGGGAAGCCGAGAAGCGGACCGCCUGGGAAGUACGUCUGCAAGGAUGAAACUUAAAGGAAUUGGCGGGGGAGCACUACAACCGGAGGAGCCUGCGGUUUAAUUGGACUCAACGCCGGACAUCUCACCAGCCCCGACAGUAGUAAUGACGGUCAGGUUGAUGACCUUACCCGAGGCUACUGAGAGGAGGUGCAUGGCCGCCGUCAGCUCGUACCGUGAGGCGUCCUGUUAAGUCAGGCAACGAGCGAGACCCGCACUCCUAAUUGCCAGCAGUACCCUUUGGGUAGCUGGGUACAUUAGGUGGACUGCCGCUGCCAAAGCGGAGGAAGGAACGGGCAACGGUAGGUCAGUAUGCCCCGAAUGGGCUGGGCAACACGCGGGCUACAAUGGUCGAGACAAUGGGAAGCCACUCCGAGAGGAGGCGCUAAUCUCCUAAACUCGAUCGUAGUUCGGAUUGAGGGCUGAAACUCGCCCUCAUGAAGCUGGAUUCGGUAGUAAUCGCGUGUCAGCAGCGCGCGGUGAAUACGUCCCUGCUCCUUGCACACACCGCCCGUCAAAUCACCCGAGUGGGGUUCGGAUGAGGCCGGCAUGCGC